UACGGGGGGGCAAGCGUUGUUCGGAAUUACUGGCGUAAAGGGCUCGUAGGUGGCCAACUAAGUCAGACGUGAAAUCCCUCAGCUUAACUGGGGAACUGCGUCUGAUACUGGAUGGCUUGAGUUUGGGAGAGGGAUGCGGAAUUCCAGGUGUAGCGGUGAAAUGCGUAGAUAUCUGGAGGAACACCGGUGGCGAAGGCGGCAUCCUGGACCAAUACUGACACUGAGGAGCGAAAGCCAGGGAGCAAACGGG
rnacentral:rRNA from 1 species